GAGAGCACAGUACGAUGAAAGUUGUAAGCUGUGUUCGGGGGGGAGUUAUUGUCUAUCGUUGGCCUCUAUGGUAUAUGGUAGAAUCAGCCGGGGGGCCGGAGAGGCGGUGGUUUACCCUAU
rnacentral:ncRNA from 1 species